rnacentral:lncRNA from 1 species
GGGCAUUGUUUAUAACAGAGAGAAAUUGAAAGUUACCCAAGUAUGCAACGAGGUUAUGUCCAACCAUAACCUGAAAUGGUUAUGCAAACUCAGGCAAGUCCAUUCUAUGGGACGUUCUGUGUCUAUUCAAAAAUGUGGUCUUCAAAAACUACCGUCCUGAGAUCAUUUGAUGGGAAAAAGAAGAAGCUUAUGAGACCCCAAGUCAAAAGAAUGAUUUUUAGCAUCAGAGGAAUGUCUCAGAGUUCCACGGCUGGAAGCACCACCGAGACACACAAAACUACCAGGUCCUCAGCGGCAUGUGUCUCCUCAACCACACUAAAUCCCUCCUGCUUCUCUCUGGCUGCAAGGUUGUCUCUCUGCAGGCCAGUCUGGCUGCCUCAUCUCUGGAGCUUACCCACUACUCCAGCUCAGCCUCACAGCAUCUCUGGAGCUUACCCACUUCUCCAGCUCAGCCUUACAGCAUCUCUGGAGGUUACCCACUACUCCAGCUCAGCCUCACAGCAUCUCUGGAGCUUACCCACUUCUCCAGCUCAGCCUCACAGCAUCUCUGGAGCUUACCCACUUCUCCAGCUCAGUCUCACAGUGUCUCUGGAGCUUACCCACUUCUCCAGCUCAGCCUCACAGCCUCUCUGGAGCUUACCCACUUCUCCAGCUCAGCCUCACAGCAUCUCUGGAGCUUACCCACUUCUCCAACUCUCUGGAGCUUACCCACUUCUCCAGCUCAGUCUCACAGCGUCUCUGGAGCUUACCCACUUCUCCAGCUCAGCCUCACAGCCUCUCUGGAGCUUACCCACUUCUCCAGCUCAGCCUCACAGCUGUUUGAUUCCAUCUUCUCCUCCUGCUGAAAGAAAAUGAGAGAGGGAGGAAGCAAGAAAAAGAGGGAGGCAGAAAGAGAGGGAGGGAAGGAGAAAAAGAGGGAAGGAAGGGGGAAGAGAAAGAGGGGAAGAGAAAGACAUCAGGAGGAUGAUGGAAGAGAGGAGGAGAAUGGCGAAGAGGAGAAGGAUGAAGAGGAGGAAUGAGAAAAGAGGAAUGAUGAAGGGAAAAGAGGGA